rnacentral:rRNA from 1 species
GUUUGAUCCUGGCUCAGGAUGAACGCUGGCGGCGUGCUUAACACAUGCAAGUCGAACGAGCCUUCGGGCUAGUGGCGGACGGGUGAGUAACGCGUGAGAAUCUGCCCUCAGGAGGGGGAUAACGGCUGGAAACGGCCGCUAAUACCCCAUAUGCCGCGAGGUGAAAUGAGAAAUCGCCUGAGGAUGAGCUCGCGUCUGAUUAGCUAGUUGGUGGGGUAAGAGCCUACCAAGGCAUCGAUCAGUAGCUGGUCUGAGAGGAUGAUCAGCCACACUGGGACUGAGACACGGCCCAGACUCCUACGGGAGGCAGCAGUGGGGAAUUUUCCGCAAUGGGCGCAAGCCUGACGGAGCAACGCCGCGUGAGGGAUGAAGGCCUCUGGGCUGUAAACCUCUUUUCUCAGGGAAGAAGAACUGACGGUACUUGAGGAAUAAGCCACGGCUAAUUCCGUGCCAGCAGCCGCGGUAAUACGGGAGUGGCAAGCGUUAUCCGGAAUUAUUGGGCGUAAAGCGUCCGCAGGCGGUCUUGAAAGUCUGUUGUUAAAGCGUGGAGCUCAACUCCAUUUCAGCAAUGGAAACUAGAAGACUAGAGUGUGGUAGGGGCAGAGGGAAUUCCCGGUGUAGCGGUGAAAUGCGUAGAUAUCGGGAAGAACACCAGUGGCGAAGGCGCUCUGCUGGGCCAUAACUGACGCUCAUGGACGAAAGCCAGGGGAGCGAAAGGGAUUAGAUACCCCUGUAGUCCUGGCCGUAAACGAUGAACACUAGGUGUCGGGGGAAUCGACCCCCUCGGUGUCGUAGCCAACGCGUUAAGUGUUCCGCCUGGGGGGUACGCACGCAAGUGUGAAACUCAAAGGAAUUGACGGGGGCCCGCACAAGCGGUGGAGUAUGUGGUUUAAUUCGAUGCAACGCGAAGAACCUUACCAGGGUUUGACAUCCUGCGAAUCUUUUGGAAACAGAAGAGUGCCUUCGGGAGCGCAGAGACAGGUGGUGCAUGGCUGUCGUCAGCUCGUGUCGUGAGAUGUUGGGUUAAGUCCCGCAACGAGCGCAACCCACGUCUUUAGUUGCCAGCAUUGAGUUGGGCACUCUAGAGAGACCGCCGGUGAUAAACCGGAGGAAGGUGUGGAUGACGUCAAGUCAUCAUGCCCCUUACAUCCUGGGCUACACACGUACUACAAUGCUACGGACAGAGGGCAGCAAACUCGCGAGAGCUAGCAAAUCCCAUAAACCGUGGCUCAGUUCAGAUCGUAGGCUGCAAUUCGCCUACGUGAAGGAGGAAUCGCUAGUAAUCGCAGGUCAGCAUACUGCGGUGAAUACGUUCCCGGGCCUUGUACACACCGCCCGUCACACCAUGGAAGUUGGCCAUGCCCGAAGUCGUUACUCCAACCCUUGU